CAUAGCAAUUCAAGAUUAAGCCUUUGAUUGAUUUUUCUUUAAUUUCGCGAAGCCAUUUUUGAAAGUUUUCUCUGCUCUUCGAGCCUCGUUUUUCUGAGUUUUCUGCGUGAUUUCAAAGUCACCUCUGAACGCAACCCAGCAGGCCCAGGUCAUCCUCUGUGCCAGAAUUUUUGAGUGAGACCAAAGAAGUACCCAAACGAGCAUCCACAGGAUCCACAGGCGCUGGCUUUGCUUCGGGCCCGAGUGCUGCAACUCCUGGCUCAUCCUUCGGCUGACUUCAGUCGUCUUCUGAGCUGAACCGCUCGAACCGCCAGUAGCCCCGGACCUUCGGAACCUGCUCCAUCUUCUCCAAGGACCAGUCUCACUUAAGUAUGCAAACCUCCAGAGCUCCAGACAGGGCUGAUGCUGUCUCACGCGUUCAUAACUCAGAUAUCCACCUAUUUCUGGUGAUCUUAGAUUCCUCCAAAUCUACACCCGAGUUUAUCUCGACACCAAAGUUAGUGUAGGUUAAUAUGUUAGCGCAUAUUCACUCACUAUCAUUAACUUUAGUGCUCCUAGCCUGACUCAGAAUCUUUAUUUAUUCACCUAUUAUUAUCUAUCUUCAUUAUCUUAUCAUCAUUUAUUGCAUGUGUGUUGUACCAUCAUUUAUCCUGUAAUAAACAGAUCAUUAUUUUUCUAAGUUCCUGUCUGUUAGUGUUCUUCCAGAAGUGGAGUCCCUGAAAUUAGAAUUUCGACUUAAGAUAUGAGACUGAUUAAUUAAGACUGAUUAAUUAAGACUGAUUAAUUAAAACUGACUUGAUGUUUGAUUUCUGAAUUAAACUUUUGUUUUCUUUAUUUUCCCACCAUUAAGGGUGGGUGGUGCCCCUUUCAACGAGUGCAUAAAUGUCAUAAUUUGAGAUUAUUAAUCUUCAGACAUUUAUUAUAAAUUCCAAUCGCUACAGUAUUAUUUUAGUGCGGCCUUGUGAGGCUCAUUUCAAAUCACUACAAUUUUUUAUUCACCCAGCCUAAAAGUCCUGAUUAUCAGUUCUGGGUCCCUGGCAAUGACUGUUGGGUACAAACUGCAAAGCUUUGUUCUGCAGGUAGGGCUGGGCUUUUCAUUGACCAUGGGUUGGAAUAGUUCUGUGGGCAUAGUGUGUCUUCGAAGCCACUAUGUUUUCUGCACUUGUGACUAGAGAGCACCUUGAUAGCUCAGUUGGUAGAGCGGUGGACUGUAAGAUGCUCCUUGUGUGAAACGCUGUGAUCCUAAGGUCGCUGGUUCAACUCCAGCUCCAAGCACCUCCUUGUCACUGGAAAUACCCCCAUGCCUUGUCUUUAUCUGUCAACUCCUCCAAAAUGUCAAAACACAAAGAAGAUAACUCUUUCUUAAAUUUUCAACCAUCAAUUUUUUAUUCACUCAGCCUAAAAGUCCUGAUUAUCAGUUCUGGGUCCCUGGCAAUGACUGUUGGGUACAAACUGCAAAGCUUUGUUCUGCAGGUAGGGCUGGGCUUUUCAUUGACCAUGGGUUGGAAUAGUUCUGUGGGCAUAGUGUGUCUUCGAAGCCACUAUGUUUUCUGCACUUGUGACUAGAGAGCACCUUGAUAGCUCAGUUGGUAGAGCGGUGGACUGUAAUAUGCUCCUUGUGUGAAACGCUGUGAUCCUAAGGUCGCUGGUUCAACUCCAGCUCCAAGCACCUCCUUGUCACUGGAAAUACCCCCAUGCCUUGUCUUUAUCUGUCAACUCCUCCAAAAUGUCAAAACACAAAGAAGAUAACUCUUUCUUAAAUUUUCAACCAUCAAUUUUUUAUUCACUCAGCCUAAAAGUCCUGAUUAUCAGUUCUGGGUCCCUGGCAAUGACUGUUGGGUACAAACUGCAAAGCUUUGUUCUGCAGGUAGGGCUGGGCUUUUCAUUGACCAUGGGUUGGAAUAGUUCUGUGGGCAUAGUGUGUCUUCGAAGCCACUAUGUUUUCUGCACUUGUGACUAGAGAGCACCUUGAUAGCUCAGUUGGUAGAGUGGUGGACUGUAAGAUGCUCCUUGUGUGAAACGCUGUGAUCCUAAGGUCGCGGAUUCAACUCCAGCUCCAAGCACCUCCUUGUCAUUGGAAAUACCCCCAAGCCUUGUCUUUAUCUGUCAACUCCUCCAAAAUGUCAAAACACAAAGAAGAUAACUCUUUCUUAAAUUUUCAACCAUCAAUUUUUUAUUCACCCAGCCUAAAAGUCCUGAUUAUCAGUUCUGGGUCCCUGGCAAUGACUGUUGGGUACAAACUGCAAAGCUUUGUUCUGCAGGUAGGGCUGGGCUUUUCAUUGACCAUGGGUUGGAAUAGUUCUGUGGGCAUAGUGUGUCUUCGAAGCCACUCUGUUUUCUGCACUUGUGACUAGAGAGCACCUUGAUAGCUCAGUUGGUAGAGCGGUGGACUGUAAGAUGCUCCUUGUGUGAAACGCUGUGAUCCUAAGGUCGCUGUUUCAACUCCAGCUCCAAGCACCUCCUUGUCAUUGGAAAUAACCCCAAGCCUUGUCUUUAUCUGUCAACUCCUCCAAAAUGUCAAAACACAAAGAAGAUAACUCUUUCUUAAAUUUUCAACCAUCAUUUUUUUAUUCACCCAGCCUAAAAGUCCUGAUUAUCAGUUCUGGGUCCCUGGCAAUGACUGUUGGGUACAAACUGCAAAGCUUUGUUCUGCAGGUAGGGCUGGGCUUUUCAUUGACCAUGGGUUGGAAUAGUUCUGUGGGCAUAGUGUGUCUUCGAAGCCACUCUGUUUUCUGCACUUGUGACUAGAGAUCACCUUGAUAGCUCAGUUGGUAGCGCGGUGGACUGUAAGAUGCUCCUUGUGUGAAACGCCGUGAUCCUAAGGUCGCUGGUUCAACUCCAGCUCCAAGCACCUCCUUGUCAUUGGAAAUACCUCCAAGCCUUGUCUUUAUCUGUCAACUCCUCCAAAAUGUCAAAACACAAAGAAGAUAACUCUUUCUUAAAUUUUCAACCAUCAUUUUUUUAUUCACCCAGCCUAAAAGUCCUGAUUAUCAGUUCUGGGUCCCUGGCAAUGACUGUUGGGUACAAACUGCAAAGCUUUGUUCUGCAGGUAGGGCUGGGCUUUUCAUUGACCAUGGGUUGGAAUAGUUCUGUGGGCAUAGUGUGUUUUCGAAGCCGCUCUGUUUUCUGCACUUGUGACUAGAGAUCACCUUGAUAGCUCAGUUGGUAGCGCGGUGGACUGUAAGAUGCUCCUUGUGUGAAACGCCGUGAUCCUAAGCUCGCUGGUUCAACUCUAGCUCCAAGCACCUCCUUGUCAUUGGAAAUACCCCCAAGCCUUGUCUUUAUCUGUCAACUCCUCCAAAAUGUCAAAACACAAAGAAGAUAACUCUUUCUUAAAUUUUCAACCAUCAAUUUUUUAUUCACCCAGCCUAAAAGUCCUGAUUAUCAGUUCUGGGUCCCGGGCAAUGACUGUUGGGUACAAACUGCAAAGCUUUGUUCUGCAGGUAGGGCUGGGCUUUUCAUUGACCAUGGGUUGGAAUAGUUCUGUGGGCAUAGUGUGUCUUCGAAGCCACUAUGUUUUCUGCACUUGUGACUAGAGAGCACCUUGAUAGCUCAGUUGGUAGAGCGGUGGACUGUAAGAUGCUCCUUGUGUGAAACGCCGUGAUCCUAAGGUCGCUGGUUCAACUCCAGCUCCAAGCACCUCCUUGUCAUUGGAAAUACCCCCAAGCCUUGUCUUUAUCUGUCAACUCCUCCAAAAUGUCAAAACACAAAGAAGAUUACUCUUUCUUAAAUUUUCAACCAUCAAUUUUUUAUUCACCCAGCCUAAAAGUCCUGAUUAUCAGUUCUGGGUCCCUGGCAAUGACUGUUGGGUACAAACUGCAAAGCUUUGUUCUGCAGGUAGGGCUGGGCUUUUCAUUGACCAUGGGUUGGAAUAGUUCUGUGGGCAUAGUGUGUCUUCGAAGCCACUAUGUUUUCUGCACUUGUGACUAGAGAGCACCUUGAUAGCUCAGUUGGUAGAGCGGUGGACUGUAAGAUGCUCCUUGUGUGAAACGCCGUGAUCCUAAGGUCGCUGGUUCAACUCCAGCUCCAAGCACCUCCUUGUCAUUGGAAAUACCCCCAAGCCUUGUCUUUAUCUGUCAACUCCUCCAAAAUGUCAAAACACAAAGAAGAUAACUCUUUCUUAAAUUUUCAACCAUCAAUUUUUUAUUCACCCAGCCUAAAAGUCCUGAUUAUCAGUUCUGGGUCCCUGGCAAUGACUGUUGGGUACAAACUGCAAAGCUUUGUUCUGCAGGUAGGGCUGGGCUUUUCAUUGACCAUGGGUUGGAAUAGUUCUGUGGGCAUAGUGUGUCUUCGAAGCCACUAUGUUUUCUGCACUUGUGACUAGAGAACACCUUGAUAGCUCAGUUGGUAGAGCGGUGGACUGUAAGAUGCUCCUUGUGUGAAACGCCGUGAUCCUAAGGUCGCUGGUUCAACUCCAGCUCCAAGCACCUCCUUGUCAUUGGAAAUACCCCCAAGCCUUGUCUUUAUCUGUCAACUCCUCCAAAAUGUCAAAACACAAAGAAGAUAACUCUUUCUUAAAUUUUCAACCAUCAAUUUUUUAUUCACCCAGCCUAAAAGUCCUGAUUAUCAGUUCUGGGUCCCUGGCAAUGACUGUUGGGUACAAACUGCAAAGCUUUGUUCUGCAGGUAGGGCUGGGCUUUUCAUUGACCAUGGGUUGGAAUAGUUCUGUGGGCAUAGUGUGUCUUCGAAGCCACUAUGUUUUCUGCACUUGUGACUAGAGAGCACCUUGAUAGCUCAGUUGGUAGAGCGGUGGACUGUAAGAUGCUCCUUGUGUGAAACGCCGUGAUCCUAAGGUCGCUGGUUCAACUCCAGCUCCAAGCACCUCCUUGUCAUUGGAAAUACCCCCAAGCCUUGUCUUUAUCUGUCAACUCCUCCAAAAUGUCAAAACACAAAGAAGAUAACUCUUUCUUAAAUUUUCAACCAUCAAUUUUUUAUUCACCCAGCCUAAAAGUCCUGAUUAUCAGUUCUGGGUCCCUGGCAAUGACUGUUGGGUACAAACUGCAAAGCUUUGUUCUGCAGGUAGGGCUGGGCUUUUCAUUGACCAUGGGUUGGAAUAGUUCUGUGGGCAUAGUGUGUCUUCGAAGCCACUAUGUUUUCUGCACUUGUGACUAGAGAACACCUUGAUAGCUCAGUUGGUAGAGCGGUGGACUGUAAGAUGCUCCUUGUGUGAAACGCCGUGAUCCUAAGGUCGCUGGUUCAACUCCAGCUCCAAGCACCUCCUUGUCAUUGGAAAUACCCCCAAGCCUUGUCUUUAUCUGUCAACUCCUCCAAAAUGUCAAAACACAAAGAAGAUAACUCUUUCUUAAAUUUUCAACCAUCAAUUUUUUAUUCACCCAGCCUAAAAGUCCUGAUUAUCAGUUCUGGGUCCCUGGCAAUGACUGUUGGGUACAAACUGCAAAGCUUUGUUCUGCAGGUAGGGCUGGGCUUUUCAUUGACCAUGGGUUGGAAUAGUUCUGUGGGCAUAGUGUGUCUUCGAAGCCACUAUGUUUUCUGCACUUGUGACUAGAGAGCACCUUGAUAGCUCAGUUGGUAGAGCGGUGGACUGUAAGAUGCUCCUUGUGUGAAACGCCGUGAUCCUAAGGUCGCUGGUUCAACUCCAGCUCCAAGCACCUCCUUGUCAUUGGAAAUACCCCCAAGCCUUGUCUUUAUCUGUCAACUCCUCCAAAAUGUCAAAACACAAAGAAGAUAACUCUUUCUUAAAUUUUCAACCAUCAAUUUUUUAUUCACCCAGCCUAAAAGUCCUGAUUAUCAGUUCUGGGUCCCUGGCAAUGACUGUUGGGUACAAACUGCAAAGCUUUGUUCUGCAGGUAGGGCUGGGCUUUUCAUUGACCAUGGGUUGGAAUAGUUCUGUGGGCAUAGUGUGUCUUCGAAGCCACUAUGUUUUCUGCACUUGUGACUAGAGAGCACCUUGAUAGCUCAGUUGGUAGAGCGGUGGACUGUAAGAUGCUCCUUGUGUGAAACGCCGUGAUCCUAAGCUCGCUGGUUCAACUCCAGCUCCAAGCACCUCCUUGUCAUUGGAAAUACCCCCAAGCCUUGUCUUUAUCUGUCAACUCCUCCAAAAUGUCAAAACACAAAGAAGAUAACUCUUUCUUAAAUUUUCAACCAUCAAUUUUUUAUUCACUCAGCCUAAAAGUCCUGAUUAUCAGUUCUGGGUCCCUGGCAAUGACUGUUGGGUACAAACUGCAAAGUUUUGUUCUGCAGGUAGGGCUGGGCUUUUCAUUGACCAUGGGUUGGAAUAGUUCUGUGGGCAUAGUGUGUCUUCGAAGCCACUAUGUUUUCUGCACUUGUGACUAGAGAGCACCUUGAUAGCUCAGUUGGUAGAGCGGUGGACUGUAAGAUGCUCCUUGUGUGAAACGCUGUGAUCCUAAAUUCGCUGGUUCAACUCCAGCUCCAAGCACCUCCUUGUCACUGGAAAUACCCCCAUGCCUUGUCUUUAUCUGUCAACUCCUCCAAAAUGUCAAAACACAAAGAAGAUAACUCUUUCUUAAAUUUUCAACCAUCAAUUUUUUAUUCACCCAGCCUAAAAGUCCUGAUUAUCAGUUCUGGGUCCCUGGCAAUGACUGUUGGGUACAAACUGCAAAGCUUUGUUCUGCAGGUAGGGCUGGGCUUUUCAUUGACCAUGGGUUGGAAUAGUUCUGUGGGCAUAGUGUGUCUUCGAAGCCACUAUGUUUUCUGCACUUGUGACUAGAGAGCACCUUGAUAGCUCAGUUGGUAGAGCGGUGGACUGUAAGAUGCUCCUUGUGUGAAACGCCGUGAUCCUAAGGUCGCUGGUUCAACUCCAGCUCCAAGCACCUCCUUGUCAUUGGAAAUACCCCCAAGCCUUGUCUUUAUCUGUCAACUCCUCCAAAAUGUCAAAACACAAAGAAGAUAACUCUUUCUUAAAUUUUCAACCAUCAAUUUUUUAUUCACCCAGCCUAAAAGUCCUGAUUAUCAGUUCUGGGUCCCUGGCAAUGACUGUUGGGUACAAACUGCAAAGCUUUGUUCUGCAGGUAGGGCUGGGCUUUUCAUUGACCAUGGGUUGGAAUAGUUCUGUGGGCAUAGUGUGUCUUCGAAGCCACUCUGUUUUCUGCACUUGUGACUAGAGAGCACCUUGAUAGCUCAGUUGGUAGAGCGGUGGACUGUAAGAUGCUCCUUGUGUGAAACGCUGUGAUCCUAAGGUCGCUGGUUCAACUCCAGCUCCAAGCACCUCCUUGUCAUUGGAAAUAACCCCAAGCCUUGUCUUUAUCUGUCAACUCCUCCAAAAUGUCAAAACACAAAGAAGAUAACUCUUUCUUAAAUUUUCAACCAUCAUUUUUUUAUUCACCCAGCCUAAAAGUCCUGAUUAUCAGUUCUGGGUCCCUGGCAAUGACUGUUGGGUACAAACUGCAAAGCUUUGUUCUGCAGGUAGGGCUGGGCUUUUCAUUGACCAUGGAUUGGAAUAGUUCUGUGGGCAUAGUGUGUCUUCGAAGCCACUCUGUUUUCUGCACUUGUGACUAGAGAUCACCUUGAUAGCUCAGUUGGUAGCGCGGUGGACUGUAAGAUGCUCCUUGUGUGAAACGCCGUGAUCCUAAGGUCGCUGGUUCAACUCCAGCUCCAAGCACCUCCUUGUCAUUGGAAAUACCUCCAAGCCUUGUCUUUAUCUGUCAACUCCUCCAAAAUGUCAAAACACAAAGAAGAUAACUCUUUCUUAAAUUUUCAACCAUCAUUUUUUUAUUCACCCAGCCUAAAAGUCCUGAUUAUCAGUUCUGGGUCCCUGGCAAUGACUGUUGGGUACAAACUGCAAAGCUUUGUUCUGCAGGUAGGGCUGGGCUUUUCAUUGACCAUGGGUUGGAAUAGUUCUGUGGGCAUAGUGUGUCUUCGAAGCCACUCUGUUUUCUGCACUUGUGACUAGAGAUCACCUUGAUAGCUCAGUUGGUAGCGCGGUGGACUGUAAGAUGCUCCUUGUGUGAAACGCCGUGAUCCUAAGGUCGCUGGUUCAACUCCAGCUCCAAGCACCUCCUUGUCAUUGGAAAUACCUCCAAGCCUUGUCUUUAUCUGUCAACUCCUCCAAAAUGUCAAAACACAAAGAAGAUAACUCUUUCUUAAAUUUUCAACCAUCAUUUUUUUAUUCACCCAGCCUAAAAGUCCUGAUUAUCAGUUCUGGGUCCCUGGCAAUGACUGUUGGGUACAAACUGCAAAGCUUUGUUCUGCAGGUAGGGCUGGGCUUUUCAUUGACCAUGGGUUGGAAUAGUUCUGUGGGCAUAGUGUGUCUUCGAAGCCACUCUGUUUUCUGCACUUGUGACUAGAGAUCACCUUGAUAGCUCAGUUGGUAGCGCGGUGGACUGUAAGAUGCUCCUUGUGUGAAACGCCGUGAUCCUAAGGUCGCUGGUUCAACUCCAGCUCCAAGCACCUCCUUGUCAUUCGAAAUACCUCCAAGCCUUGUCUUUAUCUGUCAACUCCUCCAAAAUGUCAAAACACAAAGAAGAUAACUCUUUCUUAAAUUUUCAACCAUCAUUUUUUUAUUCACCCAGCCUAAAAGUCCUGAUUAUCAGUUCUGGGUCCCUGGCAAUGACUGUUGGGUACAAACUGCAAAGCUUUGUUCUGCAGGUAGGGCUGGGCUUUUCAUUGACCAUGGGUUGGAAUAGUUCUGUGGGCAUAGUGUGUCUUCGAAGCCACUAUGUUUUCUGCACUUGUGACUAGAGAGCACCUUGAUAGCUCAGUUGGUAGAGCGGUGCACUGUAAGAUGCUCCUUGUGUGAAACGCCGUGAUCCUAAGGUCGCUGGUUCAACUCCAGCUCCAAGCACCUCCUUGUCAUUGGAAAUACCCCCAAGCCUUGUCUUUAUCUGUCAACUCCUCCAAAAUGUCAAAACACAAAGAAGAUAACUCUUUCUUAAAUUUUCAACCAUCAAUUUUUUAUUCACCCAGCCUAAAAGUCCUGAUUAUCAGUUCUGGGUCCCUGGCAAUGACUGUUGGGUACAAACUGCAAAGCUUUGUUCUGCAGGUAGGGCUGGGCUUUUCAUUGACCAUGGGUUGGAAUAGUUCUGUGGGCAUAGUGUGUCUUCGAAGCCACUAUGUUUUCUGCACUUGUGACUAGAGAGCACCUUGAUAGCUCAGUUGGUAGAGCGGUGGACUGUAAGAUGCUCCUUGUGUGAAACGCUGUGAUCCUAAGGUCGCUGGUUCAACUCCAGCUCCAAGCACCUCCUUGUCAUUGGAAAUACCCCCAAGCCUUGUCUUUAUCUGUCUACUCCUCCAAAAUGUCAAAACACAAAGAAGAUAACUCUUUCUUAAAUUUUCAACCAUCAAUUUUUUAUUCACCCAGCCUAAAAGUCCUGAUUAUCAGUUCUGGGUCCCUGGCAAUGACUGUUGGGUACAAACUGCAAAGCUUUGUUCUGCAGGUAGGGCUGGGCUUUUCAUUGACCAUGGGUUGGAAUAGUUCUGUGGGCAUAGUGUGUCUUCGAAGCCACUAUGUUUUCUGCACUUGUGACUAGAGAGCACCUUGAUAGCUCAGUUGGUAGAGCGGUGGACUGUAAGAUGCUCCUUGUGUGAAACGCCGUGAUCCUAAGGUCGCUGGUUCAACUCCAGCUCCAAGCACCUCCUUGUCAUUGGAAAUACCCCCAAGCCUUGUCUUUAUCUGUCAACUCCUCCAAAAUGUCAAAACACAAAGAAGAUAACUCUUUCUUAAAUUUUCAACCAUCAAUUUUUUAUUCACUCAGCCUAAAAGUCCUGAUUAUCAGUUCUGGGUCCCUGGCAAUGACUGUUGGGUACAAACUGCAAAGCUUUGUUCUGCAGGUAGGGCUGGGCUUUUCAUUGACCAUGGGUUGGAAUAGUUCUGUGGGCAUAGUGUGUCUUCGAAGCCACUAUGUUUUCUGCACUUGUGACUAGAGAGCACCUUGAUAGCUCAGUUGGUAGAGCGGUGGACUGUAAGAUGCUCCUUGUGUGAAACGCCGUGAUCCUAAGGUCGCUGGUUCAACUCCAGCUCCAAGCACCUCCUUGUCAUUGGAAAUACCCCCAAGCCUUGUCUUUAUCUGUCAACUCCUCCAAAAUGUCAAAACACAAAGAAGAUAACUCUUUCUUAAAUUUUCAACCAUCAAUUUUUUAUUCACCCAGCCUAAAAGUCCUGAUUAUCAGUUCUGGGUCCCUGGCAAUGACUGUUGGGUACAAACUGCAAAGCUUUGUUCUGCAGGUAGGGCUGGGCUUUUCAUUGACCAUGGGUUGGAAUAGUUCUGUGGGCAUAGUGUGUCUUCGAAGCCACUAUGUUUUCUGCACUUGUGACUAGAGAGCACCUUGAUAGCUCAGUUGGUAGAGCGGUGGACUGUAAGAUGCUCCUUGUGUGAAACGCCGUGAUCCUAAGGUCGCUGGUUCAACUCCAGCACCAAGCACCUCCUUGUCAUUGGAAAUACCCCCAAGCCUUGUCUUUAUCUGUCAACUCCUCCAAAAUGUCAAAACACAAAGAAGAUAACUCUUUCUUAAAUUUUCAACCAUCAAUUUUUUAUUCACCCAGCCUAAAAGUCCUGAUUAUCAGUUCUGGGUCCCUGGCAAUGACUGUUGGGUACAAACUGCAAAGCUUUGUUCUGCAGGUAGGGCUGGGCUUUUCAUUGACCAUGGGUUGGAAUAGUUCUGUGGGCAUAGUGUGUCUUCGAAGCCACUCUGUUUUCUGCACUUGUGACUAGAGAUCACCUUGAUAGCUCAGUUGGUAGAGCGGUGGACUGUAAGAUGCUCCUUGUGUGAAACGCUGUGAUCCUAAGGUCGCUGGUUCAACUCCAGCUCCAAGCACCUCCUUGUCAUUGGAAAUACCCCCAAGCCUUGUCUUUAUCUGUCAACUCCUCCAAAAUGUCAAAACACAAAGAAGAUAACUCUUUCUUAAAUUUUCAACCAUCAAUUUUUUAUUCACUCAGCCUAAAAGUCCUGAUUAUCAGUUCUGGGUCCCUGGCAAUGACUGUUGGGUACAAACUGCAAAGCUUUGUUCUGCAGGUAGGGCUGGGCUUUUCAUUGACCAUGGGUUGGAAUAGUUCUGUGGGCAUAGUGUGUCUUCGAAGCCACUAUGUUUUCUGCACUUGUGACUAGAGAGCACCUUGAUAGCUCAGUUGGUAGAGCGGUGGACUGUAAGAUGCUCCUUGUGUGAAACGCCGUGAUCCUAAGCUCGCUGGUUCAACUCCAGCUCCAAGCACCUCCUUGUCACUGGAAAUACCCCCAAGCCUUGUCUUUAUCUGUCAACUCCUCCAAUAUGUCAGAACACAAAGAAGAUAUCUCUUUCUUAAAUUUUCAACCAUCAAUUUUUUAUUCACUCAGCCUAAAAGUCCUGAUUAUCAGUUCUGGGUCCCUGGCAAUGACUGUUGGGUACAAACUGCAAAGCUUUGUUCUGCAGGUAGGGCUGGGCUUUUCAUUGACCAUGGGUUGGAAUAGUUCUGUGGGCAUAGUGUGUCUUCGAAGCCACUAUGUUUUCUGCACUUGUGACAAGAGAGCACCUUGAUAGCUCAGUUGGUAGAGCGGUGGACUGUAAGAUGCUCCUUGUGUGAAACGCUGUGAUCCUAAGGUCGCUGGUUCAACUCCAGCUCCAAGCACCUCCUUGUCAUUGGAAAUAACCCCAAGCCUUGUCUUUAUCUGUCAACUCCUCCAAAAUGUCAAAACACAAAGAAGAUAACUCUUUCUUAAAUUUUCAACCAUCAAUUUUUUAUUCACCCAGCCUAAAAGUCCUGAUUAUCAGUUCUGGGUCCCUGGCAAUGACUGUUGGGUACAAACUGCAAAGCUUUGUUCUGCAGGUAGGGCUGGGCUUUUCAUUGACCAUGGGUUGGAAUAGUUCUGUGGGCAUAGUGUGUCUUCGAAGCCACUAUGUUUUCUGCACUUGUGACUAGAGAGCACCUUGAUAGCUCAGUUGGUAGAGCGGUGGACUGUAAGAUGCUCCUUGUGUGAAACGCUGUGAUCCUAAGGUCGCUGGUUCAACUCCAGCUCCAAGCACCUCCUUGUCAUUGGAAAUAACCCCAAGCCUUGUCUUUAUCUGUCAACUCCUCCAAAAUGUCAAAACACAAAGAAGAUAACUCUUUCUUAAAUUUUCAACCAUCAAUUUUUUAUUCACUCAGCCUAAAAGUCCUGAUUAUCAGUUCUGGGUCCCUGGCAAUGACUGUUGGGUACAAACUGCAAAGCUUUGUUCUGCAGGUAGGGCUGGGCUUUUCAUUGACCAUGGGUUGGAAUAGUUCUGUGGGCAUAGUGUGUCUUCGAAGCCACUAUGUUUUCUGCACUUGUGACUAGAGAGCACCUUGAUAGCUCAGUUGGUAGAGCGGUGGACUGUAAGAUGCUCCUUGUGUGAAACGCCGUGAUCCUAAGGUCGCUGGUUCAACUCCAGCUCCAAGCACCUCCUUGUCAUUGGAAAUACCCCCAAGCCUUGUCUUUAUCUGUCAACUCCUCCAAAAUGUCAAAACACAAAGAAGAUAACUCUUUCUUAAAUUUUCAACCAUCAAUUUUUUAUUCACCCAGCCUAAAAGUCCUGAUUAUCAGUUCUGGGUCCCUGGCAAUGACUGUUGGGUACAAACUGCAAAGCUUUGUUCUGCAGGUAGGGCUGGGCUUUUCAUUGACCAUGGGUUGGAAUAGUUCUGUGGGCAUAGUGUGUCUUCGAAGCCACUAUGUUUUCUGCACUUGUGACUAGAGAGCACCUUGAUAGCUCAGUUGGUAGAGCGGUGGACUGUAAGAUGCUCCUUGUGUGAAACGCCGUGAUCCUAAGGUCGCUGGUUCAACUCCAGCACCAAGCACCUCCUUGUCAUUGGAAAUACCCCCAAGCCUUGUCUUUAUCUGUCAACUCCUCCAAAAUGUCAAAACACAAAGAAGAUAACUCUUUCUUAAAUUUUCAACCAUCAAUUUUUUAUUCACCCAGCCUAAAAGUCCUGAUUAUCAGUUCUGGGUCCCUGGCAAUGACUGUUGGGUACAAACUGCAAAGCUUUGUUCUGCAGGUAGGGCUGGGCUUUUCAUUGACCAUGGGUUGGAAUAGUUCUGUGGGCAUAGUGUGUCUUCGAAGCCACUAUGUUUUCUGCACUUGUGACUAGAGAGCACCUUGAUAGCUCAGUUGGUAGAGCGGUGGACUGUAAGAUGCUCCUUGUGUGAAACGCCGUGAUCCUAAGCUCGCUGGUUCAACUCCAGCUCCAAGCACCUCCUUGUCAUUGGAAAUACCCCCAAGCCUUGUCUUUAUCUGUCAACUCCUCCAAAAUGUCAAAACACAAAGAAGAUAACUCUUUCUUAAAUUUUCAACCAUCAAUUUUUUAUUCACUCAGCCUAAAAGUCCUGAUUAUCAGUUCUGGGUCCCUGGCAAUGACUGUUGGGUACAAACUGCAAAGCUUUGUUCUGCAGGUAGGGCUGGGCUUUUCAUUGACCAUGGGUUGGAAUAGUUCUGUGGGCAUAGUGUGUCUUCGAAGCCACUAUGUUUUCUGCACUUGUGACUAGAGAGCACCUUGAUAGCUCAGUUGGUAGAGCGGUGGACUGUAAGAUGCUCCUUGUGUGAAACGCCGUGAUCCUAAGCUCGCUGGUUCAACUCCAGCUCCAAGCACCUCCUUGUCAUUGGAAAUACCCCCAAGCCUUGUCUUUAUCUGUCAACUCCUCCAAUAUGUCAAAACACAAAGAAGAUAUCUCUUUCUUAAAUUUUCAACCAUCAAUUUUUUAUUCACUCAGCCUAAAAGUCCUGAUUAUCAGUUCUGGGUCCCUGGCAAUGACUGUUGGGUACAAACUGCAAAGCUUUGUUCUGCAGGUAGGGCUGGGCUUUUCAUUGACCAUGGGUUGGAAUAGUUCUGUGGGCAUAGUGUGUCUUCGAAGCCACUAUGUUUUCUGCACUUGUGACUAGAGAGCACCUUGAUAGCUCAGUUGGUAGAGCGGUGGACUGUAAGAUGCUCCUUGUGUGAAACGCUGUGAUCCUAAGGUCGCUGGUUCAACUCCAGCUCCAAGCACCUCCUUGUCAUUGAAAAUACCCCCAAGCCUUGUCUUUAUCUGUCAACUCCUCCAAAAUGUCAAAACACAAAGAAGAUAACUCUUUCUUAAAUUUUCAACCAUCAAUUUUUUAUUCACCCAGCCUAAAAGUCCUGAUUAUCAGUUCUGGGUCCCUGGCAAUGACUGUUGGGUACAAACUGCAAAGCUUUGUUCUGCAGGUAGGGCUGGGCUUUUCAUUGACCAUGGGUUGGAAUAGUUCUGUGGGCAUAGUGUGUCUUCGAAGCCACUAUGUUUUCUGCACUUGUGACUAGAGAGCACCUUGAUAGCUCAGUUGGUAGAGCGGUGGACUGUAAGAUGCUCCUUGUGUGAAACGCUGUGAUCCUAAGGUCGCUGGUUCAACUCCAGCUCCAAGCACCUCCUUGUCAUUGGAAAUACCCCCAAGCCUUGUCUUUAUCUGUCAACUCCUCCAAAAUGUCAAAACACAAAGAAGAUAACUCUUUCUUAAAUUUUCAACCAUCAAUUUUUUUAUUCACCCAGCCUAAAAGUCCUGAUUAUCAGUUCUGGGUCCCUGGCAAUGACUGUUGGGUACAAACUGCAAAGCUUUGUUCUGCAGGUAGGGCUGGGCUUUUCAUUGACCAUGGGUUGGAAUAGUUCUGUGGGCAUAGUGUGUCUUCGAAGCCACUAUGUUUUCUGCACUUGUGACUAGAGAGCACCUUGAUAGCUCAGUUGGUAGAGCGGUGGACUGUAAGAUGCUCCUUGUGUGAAACGCCGUGAUCCUAAGGUCGCUGGUUCAACUCCAGCUCCAAGCACCUCCUUGUCAUUGGAAAUACCUCCAAGCCUUGUCUUUAUCUGUCAACUCCUCCAAAAUGUCAAAACACAAAGAAGAUAACUCUUUCUUAAAUUUUCAACCAUCAAUUUUUUUAUUCACCCAGCCUAAAAGUCCUGAUUAUCAGUUCUGGGUCCCUGGCAAUGACUGUUGGGUACAAACUGCAAAGCUUUGUUCUGCAGGUAGGGCUGGGCUUUUCAUUGACCAUGGGUUGGAAUAGUUCUGUGGGCAUAGUGUGUCUUCGAAGCCACUAUGUUUUCUGCACUUGUGACUAGAGAGCACCUUGAUAGCUCAGUUGGUAGAGCGGUGGACUGUAAGAUGCUCCUUGUGUGAAACGCCGUGAUCCUAAGGUCGCUGGUUCAACUCCAGCUCCAAGCACCUCCUUGUCAUUGGAAAUACCCCCAAGCCUUGUCUUUAUCUGUCAACUCCUCCAAAAUGUCAAAACACAAAGAAGAUAACUCUUUCUUAAAUUUUCAACCAUCAAUUUUUUAUUCACCCAGCCUAAAAGUCCUGAUUAUCAGUUCUGGGUCCCUGGCAAUGACUGUUGGGUACAAACUGCAAAGCUUUGUUCUGCAGGUAGGGCUGGGCUUUUCAUUGACCAUGGGUUGGAAUAGUUCUGUGGGCAUAGUGUGUCUUCGAAGCCACUAUGUUUUCUGCACUUGUGACUAGAGAGCACCUUGAUAGCUCAGUUGGUAGAGCGGUGGACUGUAAGAUGCUCCUUGUGUGAAACGCUGUGAUCCUAAGGUCGCUGGUUCAACUCCAGCUCCAAGCACCUCCUUGUCAUUGGAAAUACCCCAAGCCUUGUCUUUAUCUGUCAACUCCUCCAAAAUGUCAAAACACAAAGAAGAUAACUCUUUCUUAAAUUUUCAACCAUCAAUUUUUUAUUCACCCAGCCUAAAAGUCCUGAUUAUCAGUUCUGGGUCCCUGGCAAUGACUGUUGGGUACAAACUGCAAAGCUUUGUUCUGCAGGUAGGGCUGGGCUUUUCAUUGACCAUGGGUUGGAAUAGUUCUGUGGGCAUAGUGUGUCUUCGAAGCCACUAUGUUUUCUGCACUUGUGACUAGAGAGCACCUUGAUAGCUCAGUUGGUAGAGCGGUGGACUGUAAGAUGCUCCUUGUGUGAAACGCCGUGAUCCUAAGGUCGCUGGUUCAACUCCAGCUCCAAGCACCUCCUUGUCAUUGGAAAUACCCCCAAGCCUUGUCUUUAUCUGUCAACUCCUCCAAAAUGUCAAAACACAAAGAAGAUAACUCUUUCUUAAAUUUUCAACCAUCAAUUUUUUAUUCACCCAGCCUAAAAGUCCUGAUUAUCAGUUCUGGGUCCCUGGCAAUGACUGUUGGGUACAAACUGCAAAGCUUUGUUCUGCAGGUAGGGCUGGGCUUUUCAUUGACCAUGGGUUGGAAUAGUUCUGUGGGCAUAGUGUGUCUUCGAAGCCACUAUGUUUUCUGCACUUGUGACUAGAGAGCACCUUGAUAGCUCAGUUGGUAGAGCGGUGGACUGUAAGAUGCUCCUUGUGUGAAACGCUGUGAUCCUAAGGUCGCUGGUUCAACUCCAGCUCCAAGCACCUCCUUGUCAUUGGAAAUACCCCCAAGCCUUGUCUUUAUCUGUCAACUCCUCCAAAAUGUCAAAACACAAAGAAGAUAACUCUUUCUUAAAUUUUCAACCAUCAAUUUUUUAUUCACCCAGCCUAAAAGUCCUGAUUAUCAGUUCUGGGUCCCUGGCAAUGACUGUUGGGUACAAACUGCAAAGCUUUGUUCUGCAGGUAGGGCUGGGCUUUUCAUUGACCAUGGGUUGGAAUAGUUCUGUGGGCAUAGUGUGUCUUCGAAGCCACUAUGUUUUCUGCACUUGUGACUAGAGAGCACCUUGAUAGCUCAGUUGGUAGAGCGGUGGACUGUAAGAUGCUCCUUGUGUGAAACGCCGUGAUCCUAAGGUCGCUGGUUCAACUCCAGCUCCAAGCACCUCCUUGUCAUUGGAAAUACCCCCAAGCCUUGUCUUUAUCUGUCAACUCCUCCAAAAUGUCAAAACACAAAGAAGAUAACUCUUUCUUAAAUUUUCAACCAUCAAUUUUUUAUUCACUCAGCCUAAAAGUCCUGAUUAUCAGUUCUGGGUCCCUGGCAAUGACUGUUGGGUACAAACUGCAAAGCUUUGUUCUGCAGGUAGGGCUGGGCUUUUCAUUGACCAUGGGUUGGAAUAGUUCUGUGGGCAUAGUGUGUC
rnacentral:lncRNA from 1 species